UACGUAGGGUGCAAGCGUUAAUCGGAAUUACUGGGCGUAAAGCGUGCGCAGGCGGUCGUGCAAGACAGAUGUGAAAUCCCCGGGCUUAACCUGGGAACUGCAUUUGUGACUGCACGGCUGGAGUGCGGCAGAGGGGGAUGGAAUUCCGCGUGUAGCAGUGAAAUGCGUAGAUAUGCGGAGGAACACCGAUGGCGAAGGCAGCCCCCUGGGUCAAGAUUGACGCUCAUGCACGAAAGCGUGGGGAGCAAACAGG
rnacentral:rRNA from 1 species